rnacentral:rRNA from 1 species
UACGGAGGGUGCAAGCGUUAUCCGGAUUCACUGGGUUUAAAGGGUGCGUAGGUGGGCUGGUAAGUCAGUGGUGAAAUCUCCAGGCUUAACUUGGAAACUGCCAUUGAUACUAUCAGUCUUGAAUACCGUGGAGGUCAGCGGAAUAUGUCAUGUAGCGGUGAAAUGCUUAGAUAUGACAUAGAACACCAAUUGCGAAGGCAGCUGGCUACACGAAUAUUGACACUGAUGCGCGAAAGCGUGGGGAGCGAUCCGG